AAACCCCUGUACCCCUACUCUCUACACCAGAUACAACUAAACCCCCUGUACCCCUACUCUCUACACCAGAUACAACUAAACCCCCUGUACCCCUACCCUCUACACCAGAUACAACUAAACCCCCUGUACCCCUACCCUGUACCCCUACACUCUUCACCGGCUACAACUAAACUCACCUAAACCUACACUCUGUACCCCUACCCUCCAUUGCCCUACACCACUAUCCUGCCCCUGAGAAGGAGAGUAGAGGACACAAUGGCAAGAGCGAGAGGAAGAUGGCAAGGAGGAUGAGGAGGUCAGAGGAAGUAGCAUUUCUUUGGUAGAGUGUGCUCCAUCUGACAGAUUGAGAAUUUUUUUUUUCAUGAAAGAAAUGCAAAGUAAUACACAGUGGGGAGAACAGGUAUUUGAUAACCUGCCGAUUUUGCAGGUUUUCCUACUUACAAAGCAUGUAGAGGUCUGUAAUUUUUAUCAUAGGUACACUUCAACUGUGAGAGACGGAAUCUAAAACAAAAAUCCAGUGUAUCAAAUACUUGUUCUCCCCACUGUGUGUGUGUGUGUGUGUAUGUAUAUAUAUAUAUGUAUAUGUAAGUAAGGGAUAAGGUACUGUAGAAGUAAGGAAUGAAGACGCCAAAGUUCUGCGCAUUACCUUGGAAAAAAUGGAGGACAAGGCAGAGCCGAGUCUCUUUGCGGGGGUCAUUUUUCUAAGAUGGUGUACAGAACGUCGGCGUCUAUCCCGCUUAUACCACAGUUCCCACAAUUAUUUUGUUAUAAGACAAUUCAUGCUUUCUUAUCUUUUGGUUGCUAGAGACGUGACCCAGUCGGUCGUUCAAUACUGUCCUUCUUAUCUUUUGCUUGUUAACUAGCCAACUAGCUACGGCUAACACAGUCACGACGUCGGCAGCCAGAAUAACAGCAAAGUAGCUGGAUUUUUGCAUUUUUGUUUAAGCUGUUUUCUAGUGACAUUCAUUUGGAUAAUGAGCUGAUGAUCCCCCCUGGCAUAGUGCCUUCUCAUCAUGACGACGAGAUCACAUUGCAUAUCAAACACUAACGCAAGGCUAGACGCUAAGUAGUUUGUUGCUAGCAAACCUGCUAAAAUGACAACCUAAUUCAAACAUAUCAAUUGCUGAAAACAGCUGGACAAACUCGAAAUGUCACGUGGCAGGAUUUGAAAGCAUAGCCGCCCAUUUGCGUUACGACUAUACCGACAGUAGGGGACCGGAGAAAUCCAUGUUCAUCACACACCACGUUGGGUCAUCAGAUGCUCCAAAAGAAAAUGUCAAAAGCAACAACAACAACAAAAAGCUAAAUCAAUUGCUACCUAGAUAGACCUGCGUUUAGUGUGGUUGUUGGUUUAGCUUUCUGUAACUUUGUAGUAUGGGCUGCAUGUGUGUCGGUGCUUAUUGCGUUAUGAUUACAAAGUGAGCCCCGUUAUCUUUUCCAACUCCCAUUUAUAUCUGGUUUUAAUGUCCAGUCUAGAUUGUCCUUCUAGCUAAUCAGAAACGAGUAUUCAACAAUGCUGUGGUAUAAUUUAAAGUGUAAUGCUUUACUUUUGUUUAAACUAAUCCCCAACAUCGCUAAACACACAGCAACAACUUGUCUGAGGCAUUUCUGGUCUGUUCGUCUCUUAGAAGGGUUUUAAUAUCUGUUUCCACCUUCUCUGUCUGGGUUGGAGUUUAGAGAGAAUGUUUUUUUUUUUUUGACUUGUUUCUGACUCAGAAAGCAGGAAGUAGAUCCUUCAAAGCAGGAAGUUAAAUGUGAAAUUAUUGCUUUUUAAUGAAAAUUCCACUAUAUUUUGGACAAUCAUGGUAGGCAGCUGAGGCAGAGCUGUGUCCUUUGUACCUCACCAACAAUACUUGGUCUUCUGUGUUAUUGUACGUAGUUGUUGUUAUUUGUGAACUCAGGUUCACCUUUUUAUCUCAUAUUAGGUUGUGGUUGAAGAUCUGAUAACAUUCGGUAUCAAAAAUAGAGAAAAUCAGAAACUACUUUUUCACGGCAUUGCUAUUCCAAAUUUUACACUUACACCGCUCGAACAUCGAGAAGAUUCAAAUACUGCUCGGUUUUUUCCUGGAAAACUUGACUUUUUUUUCGUCCUCAUGCUGAGCUAGCAGUAGCCACAGUAUCUUCUGGCAAAUUACACCUACUUAUACUUUUAUUGUGGACACAAUAUAGUGUGGACAGUAGAAUGAUUUCCAUUAAUUUCUCUGAGAACAAUAUCUUCAUUUAACUCCAUGUCAUCAGGCGGAUGCUGUCCCUCUUCCUCUACUUUCUCCUCCUCUUCCUCACUUCUUCCACUCCUCUGCUCUGGCUCUCUGUGUGUUUUCUCUCCAAUACUACUACUACUACCACCACCACUGCUACAACCUCAACGCGCACAUGUGUGUGUGUGUACACACUACAGUGUGUGUUAGUGUACUCCAAAUGCCUCCCUCUCUGAACCUGGUACUACCACAAAUCUAUUUUUAACUGCUUGUGUUUUAGUUUUCAGAUUUUCUGUGAGGAAGUCAUGUUAAAUGUAACUGGUGUAUGUAUGUAUGUUAGGAUUUUAUUGUCUAUUUUGAGUUUCGCAAAAACAACCGUUUUUUUUGUUUGUUUUUUUCUCGAAUAUUUGAGUUUUUAUUGAUGUUGUCGGAGAAGGGAGGAUAAGAUUUCAAGAUAUCCAAAGUAGUGGUCGUCUGUUGGCCUACAGAUCUGUAUGUAGUCCGACUCUGCAACUGAAUAGGAGAACACGGGUUGUGUCCCAAAAAUGGAAUCAUAUUCCCGAAGCUAACUGGCAACAAACAGGUCUGGGACCAGGCUAACUGGCUACAAACAGGUCUGGGACCAGGCUAAUUUUUUUACGCUCCAGUCUAAGUCUGAGAUCAUCUUCCUUUGUAUUCCCUCCUUUCUUUUCAUUUAUUUCUAAGAAGAUUCUAUUAUCAAGUGAGACAUUUAAAAAAAAAAAAAUUUUAUUGGUUGUAGUCGUUCUUCAAUGUCCCGCCCACUGCAGUCUCAUUUUGAUUUGAUUGGUUGUAUUACGACGGAGAUGUGGUUGUCCCACCUAGCUUAUCGUAACAUGAAUGCACUAACUUGUAAAUCGCUCUGGAUAAGAAUAUCUGUUAUCAUGAUGACGUUGACAAAUGAAAUGCUAUUUCUGGGACUUCUUUCUCCUCUGCGAUAUUAAACAAGCAACUUGUCUGAGUGAAUGCAAUGUGUAAACAAUACUAAGUUAUACCGGAUCAAGAAAAAUCAUUAUUUUAGAAACUUAAAAAAAAAAAAUUAAAAUAAAGUUUGUGCGAAAUAUAACGAUAAAAUUAUAAUGACACAUUUAUUUGUAUUUAUUAAUUUUUUUGUUCUCUUUUUAAUAAAUGAAUGUCGUUUUUUAAAAUUUUAUUUAACUAGGCAAGUCAGGUAAGAACAAAUUCUUAUUUACAAUGACGGCCUACACCGGCCAAAACCGUAACCCGGACGACGCUGGACCAAUUGUGCACCGCCCUAUGGGUCUCCCAAUCACGGUCGUUAAGUAUAAAUGGUAUGUAAACUAGGUGUGGCCAUUUUGAAUGAAUAGUUGAUAUCUCCUGGAGGUUUAGUGGAAGCAAGUAGAAGUUAGGAGUUUUAUGUUUUAGCAUGGUCAUCUACUGUGUCUGAAAGAGAGAAUGAAGGUCAUUUAUCAGAUGUGCUGUUGUAAAAAAAUAAAUGUUUGAUGCUUA
ensembl:lncRNA